CCUACGGGAGGCAGCAGUGAGGAAUAUUGGACAAUGGGCGCAAGCCUGAUCCAGCCAUGCCGCGUGCAGGAAGACGGUCCUAUGGAUUGUAAACUGCUUUUGUACGGGAAGAAACACUCCUUCGUGAAGGAGCUUGACGGUACCGUAAGAAUAAGGAUCGGCUAACUCCGUGCCAGCAGCCGCGGUAAUACGGAGGAUCCAAGCGUUAUCCGGAAUCAUUGGGUUUAAAGGGUCCGUAGGCGGUUUAGUAAGUCAGUGGUGAAAGCCCAUCGCUCAACGGUGGAACGGCCAUUGAUACUGCUAGACUUGAAUUAUUAGGAAGUAACUAGAAUAUGUAGUGUAGCGGUGAAAUGCUUAGAGAUUACAUGGAAUACCAAUUGCGAAGGCAGGUUACUACUAAUGGAUUGACGCUGAUGGACGAAAGCGUGGGUAGCGAACAGGAUUAGAUACCCUGGUAGUCCACGCCGUAAACGAUGGAUACUAGCUGUUGGGGGCAACUUCAGUGGCUAAGCGAAAGUGAUAAGUAUCCACCUGGGGAGUACGUUCGCAAGAAGUAGAAUUAAAUUAGUAGUUAGAGNGNGNGAGNGCGAGCGACACGAGGAGAGG
rnacentral:rRNA from 1 species